rnacentral:rRNA from 1 species
UACGUAGGGUGCGAGCGUUGUCCGGAAUUAUUGGGCGUAAAGGGCUCGUAGGCGGUUUGUCGCGUCGGGGGUGAAAACCAGGUGCUUAACACCUGGCUUGCUUUCGAUACGGGCAGACUAGAGGUAUUCAGGGGAGAACGGAAUUCCUGGUGUAGCGGUGAAAUGCGCAGAUAUCAGGAGGAACACCGGUGGCGAAGGCGGUUCUCUGGGAAUGACCUGACGCUGAGGAGCGAAAGCUAGGGGAGCAAACAGG